ensembl:lncRNA
AUGCCUACUUUACUCAAACCUUACACCUCUGCUCCCCGCUGUACUCAGACCCUUUAUAAUGGCCAUAGGAUGGUGUGUGUGAGCGCCGACAACUCGGCGGUAACCACGGUGCUGGAGCUGACCAACCAGCUGGCCAACUGUGUCCCGUCCAAUCAGAACAUCACAGUGCGGAUAGACGCACAAGGCAGCGUGACCCCUCAACGCUACGCCCAAGAUCUGGCCAUCACUGCAGUCAUCUGCUUCAUCGGUGGUGUGUGCUUGACCCUGCUGGCAGUCCUCAUCGUCUAUCAAGUGUUUCGGAGUAAGAAACUGAAAGAAAGUAAAAGACAGCAAGAAGAAGAGAGAAGCAGCACCGUGGAGAAUCACCGUGCCGAUCACAGAGAUGUUGGGGCAAAGAGGAUGGACCUCUUGUGGCAGGCACAUAGAAUCCAGCCUUGGGACAGGGAGGCCAUGAUGAUAGAUGCAUGGACAGAGGGCCACAGUGGCCAGUUUGAGUCCAGAACUGGCCACGGCGACGGGCAUUUUAGGUGUCCAGACUGCAGCACCCAAGGACAGAGAGGGAUGGGCCCAAAACCGAUGAGAUGCAACGACAGGACACGCGGAAAGAUGGAGACGGACGAGGAAAGCGAGACAAGGGGAAUGAGGAGGAUACUGAUGGAAGAAAAGAGGAGGCUUGAGCAGGGAAUAAUAGGCAGGGACCUUCAGGACGAGGUUCUUCCACGAUGUAACGUCAACUCUUCCUCACGUCCACGUAAAGAAACCAUUGCCCAGAGAGCAGAGGCCCUGGCUCAUAAGACAAACAUAGAAAUUGAGGAGAGCCACAGGACCCACAUGGAAGGUAGGAGCAGAGAACAUGAGAUGUUACCCUGUGAGAGCUGCCACAGGAUGAACAGACCUCCAGAGCAGAACAGAGGACAAGGAAGGAUUCAUUUUGAAGGCGUCCAUCCUCAGUACGGACAGAUUGGCAGGGUUAGGAAUGUUAACCACAACAAGUAUGACACAAAGAACACAGGAUUGAGGAGAGAAAAUAGAAAUGUAACGUUUGACCUGGAGAGUUCAAGCAGCCCGAGACGCAAGUACAAGAGGGAGGGGGAAGUGAGGAGCUCCCGAGAAAAGGAGAGAGGAAAGAGGCAUAAAGCUGAAGUCCAGUCAAGCCGGCCACCGAAGGUUAAACUGAACUUGAACCCACUAGGAAAGAUCCAAGUCCAUCCUAAAAAGACAACCAAGCUGGGACACUCAGAGGAAGUCAGCUCAAAGAAGAGUAAAGACAAAAGGCAGGAUGCAGAAUACAGAGGAGAGAGGGAAGCAAUAGGAAAGUCUGGUAAGAAAACCAAGGAGAAAACCUUGAACAAAGGACCGAAUGAGGAUCAUGAGGAAGAGAACAAAGCAGAAGACACAGAAGGAGGCCAGGAAAGUAAAGCGUCCUUUGAGCAGGAAAACGGGGGGGCAGAGAAGUAUAGAGGACUCCCAUCGUGA